rnacentral:tRNA from 1 species
GCCGCCUUAGCUCAGCUGGUAGAGCACCACUCUCGUAAAGUGGGGGCCGUCGGUUCGAGUCCGACAGGCGGCU